GGGGAUGUGGCACAGUGGUUAGCGCGCACGCUUUGCAUUCGUAAUAUGCGUGAGGCCGUGGGUUCAAAUCCCACCCUCUCCA
rnacentral:tRNA from 2 species